GGUGAGUAACACGUGGGUAACCUGCCUCAUAGAGGGGAAUAGCCUUUCGAAAGGAAGAUUAAUACCGCAUAAGAUUGUAGUACCGCAUGGUACAGCAAUUAAAGGAGUAAUCCGCUAUGAGAUGGACCCGCGUCGCAUUAGCUAGUUGGUGAGGUAACGGCUCACCAAGGCGACGAUGCGUAGCCGACCUGAGAGGUUGAACGGCCACAUUGGGACUGAGACACGGCCCAGACUCCUACGGGAGGCAGCAUG
rnacentral:rRNA from 1 species